UACGUAGGGGGCGAGCGUUGUCCGGAGUUACUGGGCGUAAAGCGCUUGUAGGCGGUCCACCAAGUUUGGGGUGACAGUUGUCGACUUAAUCGGCAAAGUGCCUCAAAGACUGGCGGACUUGAGGGCCACAGAGGGACAUGGAACUCCAGGUGUAGUGGUGAAAUGCGUAGAUAUCUGGAAGAACACCCGUGGCUAAGGCGGUUCUCUAGUACGGUACUGACGCUGAGACGCGAAAGCGUGGGGAGCGAACAGG
rnacentral:rRNA from 1 species